UAGCAGCGAAAUUCUGUUAAUAUUUCU
rnacentral:tRNA from 1 species